CACACACGGACCUUGGUUGAUCCAGAGGCACUGGAAAGAUAUGUACCAGGUUGCAGGAAGGAUGUGUACUGUCAGCAACUCUCAGAAGGCUGAACAAACGAGUCCCACAGCAGCCCUGGGAAGGAUCUCUGCUGUACCUUUUGGGAGGGCAGAUUUUUUACUGGAGGCUAGCACGUUUUGAUAUUACAGUGCUGGUGCUAUUCCAGAGGCUACUGGUGUUCAUAUUCAAAGGUUUAACUACUGCAAAGUCAGCUGGGAAUGUUGAAGUAUUCUCACUUGGGAACACUACUGCAAAUUUCUGAAAAGAAAUGAAGAAAACUCCUUUUCACACUAACAGAGCCCCAGAAAACCCUGUGCCAGUCAUGGCAUGCAAACAGAGCUCGAGACAAUAUUUCUCUUGAUACAAAAGACAGACAAAAGAUGGUGGGGGCAAAUAGGUCUGUAGCAAGUGAAGUGAUCUGCUGAGGAUCACCCAGAAUAUUCUUUGUAGUCACUGCAACUCUGUAUGCCAUUUGAAAGACAAAAGAAAAUAGCAAUAAAAGCAAGGUAAAA
rnacentral:lncRNA from 1 species